rnacentral:lncRNA from 1 species
ACAAAUGAACUUAUUUACACAACAGAAAUAGACUCACAGACAUAGAAAACAAACUCAUGGUUUCCAAAGGGGAAAGAGGAGAGGAAUAAAUUAAGGAUUUGGGAUUAAUAGAUACCUACUGCUAUAUAUAAAAUAGAUAAACGACAAGGACCUACUGGCUAGCGCAAGGACUUAUGUUCAAUAUCUGUAAUAACAUAAUGGAAAAGAAUCUGAAAAAGAAUAUAUAUAUGUGUGUGUAUGUGUAUGUAUAUACGUGUAUAUGUAUCUGAAUCACUGCUGUAUAACUGAAACUACACAACACUUAGAAGAAAGAAAAAGAAUCGGAAUGACAAGAAGAAGCCCAGUGGCUGAGGGCCAUUCCCAGGCAGCGAGGGUUCGUCUUACCCAGUGUCCUCAGGGAAUGAAUUUCCAUGAAUGUGAAUUUUCCAGAUAUAUUACAAGAAUCAAAACUCUUUAAAAGCUUUUUUUUUUUUUUUAAGAGAAAACCUGUGCAAAAUGUUUACCAUUCUUCCAUAUUUUAGCAAGUGAAGAAGAUGGGAUGUGUGCGAACAUUUCCUGGCUGGCCGUGGAGCAAAGGGCGCUUGGCCCCGGCAUCCAGGGCUCCUCUCUGCCCCUUCCCUGCCCGUCAGGUGUCACCUCACACACAGCAUGUGAGCACAGAGAAAAGGCUGAAACGAGCGUGUCAUUUCCAGACCGGAAACCCUGGGCUCAGAGCAGAGGUUCUGGUUGUCAUGACGCGUGGGUGGCUGGAGUCCUGGGACGUUCUGACCUGCAAUAAAGCUUCCCUUUGCCUCCUGUCCCACCUCAGAGUCUCUGUGGUGGCCUGUGGGCCGGGAAGGGCAGUCUUCUGUGGCCUUGGGCAAGGCGUGAAGCUUCUUCAGGACUCAAGGUCUCCUGUGACUGGCGGUAGAAGGGGAGGGCUGUCACCUGAUGGCUGGGGUGACCCCAGUGUUUGGGACAAAGUUGGUCCUCACACAUUGUCCCCAUUUUCUCCACUGGCCUCCCAUGCCCACACAGCCUGGCACAUUCCUGCCCAAGUUAUGGGGACCCGGCCUCCCAGGACCCCUCCGCCCUCACUUUGCUGCCUAGUCAGCCAAUUCCCAAGGGGUCCUUAUUCUGAGAACCUAGUUGGGUUGGGGCGCCUCCAGGAGGCAGAGACCCAUGAGGCCUUCCCUUGAGGAUUUUAUCACAUGCCAGGGCUUUUCAGAGAAGCGUUUGCUGACAUGCUGCUACCAAGGCCUCUCCCAGAAUCUCCCACUUCUGCAUGUUCUCAGGCGCCUCCCUAGGCAGGACUCACCUACCAUUUGAAGGCAGGGGUGGGGGCCCAUCACAACAGCCUGGAGGAGAACCUUCUGGGGUGCCUGCUCCACCAGGCUGGGAUCGCAAACAGGCUUCAGCAUUUCCCAGCCAAGUCACUUCACCUCAGUUUUGAACCUCAGUUGUCUUAACUGUAAAAUGGGAUGAUAAUAACUGUAUCCUUUUCCUGAACAUGCUUCUUGGGCUAAAUGAACUAACAACAACUGUACAUCCAAGUUGAUGUGUGUCCUGUGCCCGGCAUGGUCGGGCCAUUGCACGUGCUCAGGAAACGUGAAUGAGGGAUGUGGUUACACUUCCCCCACCCCCAGUGCCCUAUGUUGUGACACAGCUUCCACCAGCCACCAGAGGAGCCCUGAUGCCACUGGAUUCCCUGCCCUGAGCCUGCUUUGUGCAGGGCCUACCUCUUCAGCAGGCCGAUAGCUGCAGCUGGCUUGGCUGGACCACAUGUCUCUAGGCCUGAGGGCCCCAGCGCCUUGGACUGAGGGCUCUGCUCCAGCCUGGGAAGGGCAGACACUCUGUCUGGGACCCAGUCGUGGCCCCUCUCCUCCACAAGGGGGAAACUUCAGCUUUGGACUGUGUUUCCCAGGGCUUGGGAAGGCUCCCCAAGGAUCCUGGAGCUGAGCUGCAAGAGCUGAGCUGAGCCGAGCUGUGCCAAAUACAGAGCCUAGGAUGGGCUUUCUUGGUGGGAGGAUAAAGAUACUCCCAGAAUCCCCUGGCUCAGGAGUCUUGGAAACGCACGUGCCCUCUAUCCCUCUGUGCUUCUCAAAUGGGGGGGGGGGAAACGCGAUGGGGGCGGGGUGCUCCAUGUAGCUCCAAGGCAAACAUGGUCAUUUUCUUGGAGCAGCAAUUUUAUUUGAAGUCGAAGGGGAGUAAGGCAUUGUUAUAUUAAAACAAAUAUGAGUUGAGGCAAAAUGGUUCUAUAUGUUCACCCAAGUCCCAUUUCAUUUUUUCAACUUGGAGGUACAGGAGGAAUUUCCCAACAUCCCCUGCACUUACGUUGGGGCCAGGUGGACCAGGUUCUGGCCAUGGGCGUGUGGGCAGUGUUGAGGUCAGCACUCCCUGAACAACCCAUUCCUGAAAUACUCCUGUCUUCUCUUCUUCUCAAAGGCAACUGAGAAGCAGUCCUUGAGGGAAGACGGAGGAAGCAGCCUGGACUCUGCACGAAGGGGCAUCAUUCUGGAGAGCCCCCGGACCCCCCCAUCAGAUUUGCACAAGUGAGAAAUAAACCUCAGAGGUAUUCAGCCACUGUGACUUGGGGGUUAUCUCAGCAUCCCAUGAGUCAGCAUCCUGACUAAAACAUGGAUAUAAUAUGGAGCCCAAGGCAAUAUACACAGGAUUUUUAAAGCUAAGACAUGAGGCUUCAAGUAAGUGACUGCUUGCAACUGGGGUCUGGGCCGUACCCGCAGAAUUUUAACCUGCUAGUCUGGGCUCUAUUUGAUGCCAUCACCAUUAGCAAGAGACCCAGUGAUCCAUUGAUGCCACAGCCACUGUCCCCAGAAAGGGCUCAGAGCAGAUCUUUGUAACUGCCCACAGGAGAUCUUGAGGGAGAAUGAGCACAUCACACGGUGAGUAUCUGAUGAUUGGAGCCACAUGAGAAAUGAGCCCAGCGCCGGUCUCUGAGUUCCCCAAAACCAUUCUAUGGUGGGCGAGAGAGGACAGUCCAGCUCCUGCCUUGGGCCCUCAGGUGAAUUUGUCCAGCAGUGGGUCACUGUUGCCAGCAUGAUGCAUGUCUUCCAGGGCCCAAGUGGCUGGGGCAUUAGUGGGAGCCACAGCUGGGCUCAGGUGGCUAGGGGAGGAGGCUGCUAUGGCCAUGACUUCAAAUAAGUUACUUCUCCCAGGAUCCUGGCUUUAUCACAGGUAAAAAAUUGGAGGUGACGAUGACAAUGGCAUUUGAAGCCUUUUCCUUACAUGCUGCUGUAAUAUAUAAAUCAGAACAACCAAACAACAAAACCAACAACAACAACAACAAAAAAAAAACCCCAAAAAACAGAACAGCCAAGCUACUCUUGGGCACCCUGGAAUCUAGUUUAAAAGCCUUGAACUAGAGGCUGGUGCUGGCUUCUGCUCUUCAGAUUCCCUUGCUCAGGAGGCCUGAGCUCGUGUCCCUAACUUCUGGGGAAAUUAGACAACAUCGUUCCCUUCUCUGGGCUUCUGGAAUUCAGUGACCAUGGAUACAAUCCUAUAACAAAGCCCGUUAUUAGCGGUGAAGCUGGAGCUGCUUGGGUUAAAGACAGAGUGGGGUCUGAGCCCUGAGGGGCGCCACCUGUGCACAGGGCUCCUGGAGGAGGCAGCGAUAUGGAAAGGCCCCUGGAAGGCAUACCUGCCUGGUGGCCGAGGGCCAAGGCAGUGCUAACCUCAUGCGUGGCUGGGGCAGCCUCCGCACUGGGCGGGGGGACCGUGGGAGGCAAACCUGGGUUUCUUCAGCAGGGAGCAGGGUGCCAGCUCUGCCCCAGGGCUGAGCCAUGGCCUGCGGGCCCAGGAGUCUAGGACCAAGGUGCUGGCACAGAGUUGGAGCACAGGGUAUGUGCUGGAUCCGAAGGUUUCAUAACAUGGAGAACCUGAGGGGUCCAAAGGACCAAGGAGUUCCUGAGGUGACAGAGCCUCACUGUGGAGGGGCUGUGGGAUGUGACACCCUCUGCUGCUGUUGGGCAGCGGUUUCCAGGGGGCAGGGACCCCAAUUUAUUUGUAACUCAAGGCCAUCUGCCUUUCACUUUCCACCAAGUGGUCCAGAGGCUGGAAAAGCUUCAGAGCAGAUGUAGGGCGUUCCCACAGGGUCAAGGCCAGGGGUGGUGCUAGGAGGGGGGCAGGGCCUCUGCACCCAGGGAUGAAGCCAUCAGCUGUGCCAGCAGCACCAGGUGGCCCCUUUGGUGUGCUUGAAAGGCUCAGUUCUCCAGGGAGCUGCCCUGCGCCCUGAGCCUCCCCAUGGGGGCGAAGCUUGCCACAUACCCCGCCCAGCCUGGCGCCCUCAGCCCCCAGGGCAGGCGCCCCGUCAGUCUCUGCCAGGUGGCCAAACUCUAGGGACACGUCACUCCCUCCUUCAGGGAGACUGACCCCAGUGGAUCAAGGAUUGGGGGAUUUUCCAAACCCUUCCCUCCAUCUCCCCCAGGAUCUCACAGGUUAUGAGGCAAUAUUUAGCGCCCCAGGCAACCAUUCGCCAUUAGGGGAGAAAAAAAGUUAAAAGGAUCCCCUUUCUCCCCAGCUGACCCCAAAACGAACAGGCCCUGUCCACCCCAGUGGGUUUGCUGUCACACAGAAGAAAUCAGCGGUACUCGGAAGCCGUUUCUAUGAAGGGCCAGGAUUCGGCGAUGCUCAGCUCUGUUUUAUUAUUGCAUUUUACAGAGUUACCAAGACAACUGAGGCCAAGUAACAGAACCUUGACUUUAUGCGCCAUGAAAAUUUAAUAAAGAAGUUUUAAAGGCUUUUAAGAGGCAGAAGCAGCAGCCCAGCAGCAGAGCCCCCACAGAGGGAGGCGGGUAGGAGCGUGUGGGGCUUCCUGCCAGACCUGGAGGAGCCCGGCCUGUCAGGGCCAUUGAGGUGGGCGGAAGUGAUCCCUGGCAUCCGUCUGGUUCAAGUGUAUCGAGACUGGUCCUUUUCUUGGAGGACAUUUAUUAACACACUUUCUGAUGCCAAGUCCAUGUCAGGCUCUUUAUAUUGGCUAUGACCCCAUCUCCACUGGGCAGGCCAGGAAGAGGGCAGGGGGUGAAGAGACCAGUGGGUCCAUGGACAACAACAGAUGCAGCCAAAGACCCCCAUGCUUCCCACAACCUCUCAGGGCCUCUGCUGGGAUUCUUGCUGUCCCUGUUUUGUUUUGUUUUGUUUUUUUCUGUCUUUUUUAGGGCCACACCCACGGCAUUUGGAAGUUCCCAGGCUAGGGGUCGAAUUGGAGCUGUAGCCCUUGGCGUACUAUACCACAGCCAUAGCCACGAAGGUGCAGUUACCUACGACCUACACACAGCUCAUGGCAAUGCCAGAUCCUUAACCCAAUGAGCAAGGCCAGAGAUCGAACCAAUAUCCUCAUGGAUACUAGUCAGGUUCGUUACCACUGAGCCACGACGGGAACUCCUCACUUUCCUGUUCUGAUGCAAGAGGUUCUGAAGGGAAAGAGCCUUGCUGACUCCUUUCAUUGCCCAGUUCCUUGGUUAUUUCUGCAGCCCGGGAAGAGCCCGGGGGGAGGUGGCACGAAGCCACAGUCCUGGUCGGUAUCUUAGCAAACACCUUCAAGUCAGAGGAAAUGUUUCCACAAGCCUCCUGGUGAGCUUGUUAUGUUCCCCCAGGGCUGCAAAGACCCCCUCAUUUCCUCUGCUCUCUAAAUAAGACUCAGAAGCAAUUUGCCAGAAAGAAGCAAAACGUCAGUAAUUUUGCCAUUUUAUACCAAAGCUCAAUAGUGCUCAGUGCAUGCGUGUGUGUGUGUGUGUGUGUGUGUGUGUGUGCAUGUGCACGGGUGUGCACACACACAUGUGCAUGUACAAGCAAUAUGCUGCGUGGCUUUUCUAGCUUAGACAAAUCAAGACUUUUGGGUACUAGAGACGGAGGUAGCUGAAUAUGUUAACUGUUCUACAAAGCUCCUUUGUCCCUGGGGGUAGAAAAAAAAAUUCAAACUUAUCUCAUGAGGGAAAAAAUCAUAUACCAUAUGGGAAAAAUUUCUCUCCCAUCUGUCAAACUCAAUAGGAGAUUGGCAAAAAUAUCAAUCAGGGUGAGAGGGAUUUUGGGUUAAGACGGGUGAGUUUGCCUCAUUGGGAGAGGAGGACAGCGCUGAGCCGCUCAUCAUUUCUGAGUUUUGAGGGAAGGGGCUCAGAUGCCAAACAUUCAAGCCCAGUUCUUGAUGCUGAGGCCAUGGAGUUUGGGGCACUAAUAGAAG